AGUAAAAGUCGUAACAAGGUUUCCGUAGGUGAACCUGCGGAAGGAUCAUUAACGAUUGCUAUAAAUGCAAAGACAAAACUCACUGGAUUGAACGCUCAAACUCCUGACGAGUUCAGGAAGGAUGAUGCCUCUCACGGCCAUCGUGGUCGUUGCGCUCUGCGCUGCGAACGAUGUAAAACAAACAACCGAUGGCCUCUYAUACAGUAUAAUAUCUCUCGCCAUGGCAUACAGGCCUGGCAUCUGGUACGAGUCUCUCGCAGUCUCAAAACCAACCUUACAACUCUGAGCGGUGGAUCACUUGGCUUGUGGAUGCUAUGAAGACCAUAGCUAAGUGUGAGAAUGGCAGCGAGCCGUCGCUAUAUGCGCUGUCCUCUUCUUAUCACAUGUCGAAUGCACAUUGCGCCCCACCCAGCGGUCGGCUAAACAACCUGCAGACAAAAGCCUGUGAGUUGGAACAAAGGCUAAUGUGUGGCCCUCGAGCAACGGCGGGGGAGCCAGGAGCACAUGAGCGUGCGGACCAACUACUCGUGAGUAGUCAGGCUUGAACCCUAUGGUGGGGCACUCCUAGUCGAGUGUGGUGGAUCGGACUCACAUCUCUUGUUGCGCGUUCGCGCGUGAUGGAGUUUGAGUUUCUUUGUUGCUGGUGGCAUUUGGGUCGACAUCAGUCGUGCCCGUAAACAACUGCCUUGGCUCGUGCCUCUGUGCGUAUACCUCUCGAAGGAGCGUACAUUGAAGGCCAUAGCUGGCGAUCACUCUUGCGGCCAGGGCACUACUUCGGUUGUGCGCACAGGUCCAAAAGGAAUUGGUAAUACGAGAAUCGGGUCUCAAUACUCUGGACGGCUUCUGCACACUAACACAAACUGUGGAGUGAUGAUCACAUGGUUAUCGAGAGAACUGCAAUACCGCUUUUCUGGCAAGGCCCCGUCCGAGCCUCACCUCUUUUGAAUGCACACACAUACCAGACAGUGCCUCCCCUGACGAGAUCAGGAAGGAUGGUCUGCGAGUGUGUGUAAAAAGUAACAGAUUGGCCGGCAGUCUCGCAUCACAUCUGUAUCAGGUGUGGUGAUCAUGUUGAUUCUUGAGGUCCCUGCAUAUCCGUUGCUCUGGUAAAGGCUCUUCUUUCUCGUAGUAUUCGAGAAUGACAUGAGCUUUACCACUUUUGAAUGCGCACACGAGGACAAGGAAUGAGAACCUGACGAGAUCAGGAAUAAGUGCGUCAAAAGUAACCGAGUGGCCGGCAGUCUCGCAUCACUCUUCUGGUUGACCUUAUGUGUGACGUGAUGAUCACAUGGUUAUCGAGAGAACUGCAAUACCGCUUUUCUGGCAAGGCCCCGUCCGAGCCUCACCUCUUUUGAAUGCACACACAUACCAGACAGUGCCUCCCCUGACGAGAUCAGGAAGGAUGGUCUGCGAGUGUGUGUAAAAAGUAACAGAUUGGCCGGCAGUCUCGCAUCACAUCUGUAUCAGGUGUGGUGAUCAUGUUGAUUCUUGAGGUCCCUGCAUAUCCGUUGCUCUGGUAAACGCUUUUGCUCCUCGUACUAUACGACAAUGGCAUGAGCUUUACCACUUUUGAAUGCGCACACGAGGACAAGGAAUGAGAACCUGACGAGAUCAGGAAUAAGUGCGUCAAAAGUAACCGAGUGGCCGGCAGUCUCGCAUCACUCUGCUGGUUGUACUUAUGUGUGACGUGAUGAUCACAUGGUUAUCGAGAGAACUGCAAUACCGCUUUUCUGGCAAGGCCCCGUCCGAGCCUCACCUCUUUUGAAUGCACACACAUACCAGACAGUGCCUCCCCUGACGAGAUCAGGAAGGAUGGUCUGCGAGUGUGUGUAAAAAGUAACAGAUUGGCCGGCAGUCUCGCAUCACAUCUGUAUCAGGUGUGGUGAUCAUGUUGAUUCUUGAGGUCCCUGCAUAUCCGUUGCUCCGGUAAAAGCUGUUUUUUCUCGUAGUAUUCGAGAAUGACACGAGCUUUACCACUUAUGCUCGCACACGCCAGGACAGGGAAACAGAACCUGACGAGAUCAGGAAUAAGUGUGCGUCAUAAGUAACAGGGCGGCCGGCAGUCUCGCAUCACUGAACACGUUGUACUUCCGUGUGGAAAAGAAUACGGACGAAUGAGAGAGACCUGGUUUCUUGUGUUUUGGUAAUUGCCACCACCUCGACUUAGGAGAGGUUACCCGCUGAACUUAAGCAUAUCAGUAAGCGGAGGAAAAGAAACCAAUCAGGGAUUCCCUUAGUAGGGGCGACCGAACAGGGAUGAGCCCAGCGCAGAACCUCCCGGGCCACCCGGCCUGCGGCGGAAUGUUGCGUUAAGGGAAAGGUCGUAGUCAAACCCCACAGCCACGCGAGCUCUAAGUAAGUCACGAAUUGGCUAUCCCAACUAACGGCGGGAAAAUCUCCACGGAGGGUGUAAGACCCGUGUGGGCGCGUGUAAAUGCUGUGUGGGCUCGGCCUCUUUUCCCUGAGAGUCGCGUUGCUUGAGCAUGCAGCGCUAAGCAGGUCGUAAACUCGAUCUAAGGCUAAAUAUGUCCACAAGACCGAUAGCGAACAAGUACCGUGAGGGAAAGUUGAAAAGCACUCUGAAGAGAG
rnacentral:rRNA from 1 species